rnacentral:rRNA from 1 species
AGAGUUUGAUCCUGGCUCAGGAUGAACGCUAGCGACAGGCUUAACACAUGCAAGUCGAGGGGCAGCACAGGUAGCAAUACCGGGUGGCGACCGGCGCACGGGUGAGUAACGCGUAUGCAACUUACCUAUCAGAGGGGGAUAACCCGGCGAAAGUCGGACUAAUACCGCAUGAAGCAGGGGCCCCGCAUGGGGAUAUUUGCUAAAGAUUCAUCGCUGAUAGAUAGGCAUGCGUUCCAUUAGGCAGUUGGCGGGGUAACGGCCCACCAAACCGACGAUGGAUAGGGGUUCUGAGAGGAAGGUCCCCCACAUUGGUACUGAGACACGGACCAAACUCCUACGGGAGGCAGCAGUGAGGAAUAUUGGUCAAUGGGCGUAAGCCUGAACCAGCCAAGUCGCGUGAGGGAUGAAGGUUCUAUGGAUCGUAAACCUCUUUUAUAAGGGAAUAAAGUUCGGGACGUGUCCCGUUUUGUAUGUACCUUAUGAAUAAGGAUCGGCUAACUCCGUGCCAGCAGCCGCGGUAAUACGGAGGAUCCGAGCGUUAUCCGGAUUUAUUGGGUUUAAAGGGUGCGUAGGCGGCCUUUUAAGUCAGCGGUGAAAGUCUGUGGCUCAACCAUAGAAUUGCCGUUGAAACUGGGGGGCUUGAGUAUGUUUGAGGCAGGCGGAAUGCGUGGUGUAGCGGUGAAAUGCUUAGAUAUCACGCAGAACCCCGAUUGCGAAGGCAGCCUGCCAAGCCAUGACUGACGCUGAUGCACGAAAGCGUGGGGAUCAAACAGGAUUAGAUACCCUGGUAGUCCACGCAGUAAACGAUGAUCACUAGCUGUUUGCGAUACACAGUAAGCGGCACAGCGAAAGCGUUAAGUGAUCCACCUGGGGAGUACGCCGGCAACGGUGAAACUCAAAGGAAUUGACGGGGGCCCGCACAAGCGGAGGAACAUGUGGUUUAAUUCGAUGAUACGCGAGGAACCUUACCCGGGUUUGAACGCAUUCGGACCGAGGUGGAAACACCUUUUCUAGCAAUAGCCGUUUGCGAGGUGCUGCAUGGUUGUCGUCAGCUCGUGCCGUGAGGUGUCGGCUUAAGUGCCAUAACGAGCGCAACCCUU